AAGAGACUCACAGACAUAGAAAACUAACUUAAGGUCACCAAAGUUGGGGGCAGGGUGUGGGGAGGGACAUAUGAGGAGUAUUGGAUUAACAGAUACCAACUAUUACACAUAAAAUAGAUAAACAAGGAUUUACUGUAUAGCACAGGGAAUUAUAUUCAGUAUCUUAUAAUAACCUAAAUAACCUAUAAUGGAAUAUAGUCUGAAAAAUAUGUAAUUAUUGAAUC